rnacentral:lncRNA from 1 species
CCACACUGUCCUUACCUUUGUAUGACCUCUCACCUCAGUCUUGCCCUGCCUCAGGCCCAUCAAAUUCUAAUCCUCUUGUCUACCCUCCUCCCAGCUCUCCUCACUUUGUCACCUUUUUCCUUCCAUGACAAAUGACACUACUUCCCAGUACCUGACCUUAUUCACUCCAUGCCCAGCUCUUCAAGACCCUGUUCCUAUCAUACCUAACCUGCCCAUUGCCCUGUUAUCCUACCUGUUUCUAUUUGACCUCUAUGUUAUCCCCAACUCCCCCUAAAAACUCUACUUACUAGUCCUCUAUACCCCAACACACCCCCACCCACUUGUGAUCCAGUCACCCCAUCCGUACCUACUGGUUCCCAAAUAUAAUCCCGGAAGGAAGUUUCCUUCCCACUGUGACGGAUCUGGUGAAGCUCACAGUUGUGAAGACUGGACUCCCAGAAACUUGGUGGCAGGUAGAUCCUCUCCCGCCUGAUCAAUGUGCUUGCAUCAGCCUUUAACUUACAAUGUGGUUGGAGCAGACCAAACUGCAGGACCAUAGUGGAGUGACAAAUGAGGGGGAUUCAUCCCCUCUGUUCCCCAGGAGGGUAAGUUCUGUUGAUCUGCAGAGUUAAAGUGAGUGGAAGAAAUGGGGAGCCCAGAGGACUCACCUACAGGGCAUGAGGAUUCCACUGUAGGCAGAAAAUCCCUGUAGCAUGCGUGUAAUGGAGAGAAGGUGUCACUGAUUGGCUGGUGAACAAUGACAUCGUUAUCUCCAGGGGCUGACUCCAUUUCCAUGGAUGACAGCCUUCCAAACAUGGGACUCAAAUGUGUGCAGAGAGCCUGCAGGCGCUGGAGGAGUGGGACUGUGAGCUGCAGUGUGUGCACAGCUGCCGCCAUGAUGCCGCCAUGCCCAGGGCCCGCCAUGAGCAAACUGCUGUCGCGCAAAGAGGGGGAGUGGAUCCUGGAAGCAGCUUGCGCGGCCGCCACAGCCCCCCAGCAAGAGGACCAUUGGGGACCAGAUGGAGAGGGACCAGGCUGCUGCUGCUGAUGCUGAUGCAGGCGACCUCCUCUCCAGCGGGCCCUGCGAGAGGGACAAAGAAGAUGGCGCCCAGAGAAGUAAGAUGGGCGGAACUCAAAGUUGUUUGUCACUAA